GCUUAACGCGAAGAACCUUACCUGGCCUUGACAUCCAUGGAAUCCCGAAGAGAUUUGGGAGUGCCGCAAGGAACCAUGAGACAGGUGCUGCAUGGCUGUCGUCAGCUCGUGUCGUGAGAUGUUGGGUUAAGUCCCGCAACGAGCGCAACCCUUGUCCUUAGUUGCCAUCAUUAAGUUGGGAACUCUAAGGAGACCGCCGGUGACAAACCGGAGGAAGGUGGGGAUGACGUCAAGUCAUCAUGGCCUUUAUGGCCAGGGCUACACACGUGCUACAAUGGCAAGUACAGAGGGAAGCCAACCGGCGACGGGGAGCUAAUCCCACGAAAACUUGUCUUAGUCCGGAUUGCAGUCUGCAACUCGACUGCAUGAAGUUGGAAUCGCUAGUAAUCGCAGAUCAGCAUUGCUGCGGUGAAUACGUUCCCGGGUCUUGUACACA
rnacentral:rRNA from 1 species